rnacentral:rRNA from 1 species
AAUACGUAGGGGGCCAGCGUUGUCCGGAUUCAUUGGGCGUAAAGAGCGUGUAGGCGGCCAUGUAGGUCCGAUGUGAAAACUCGAGGCUCAACCUCGAGCUGUCAUUGGAAACCAUGUGGCUAGAGUCCGGAAGAGGAGAGUGGAAUUCCUGGUGUAGCGGUGAAAUGCGCAGAUAUCAGGAAGAACACCUAUGGCGAAGGCAGCUCUCUGGGACGGUACUGACGCUGAGACGCGAAAGCGUGGGGAGCGAACAGGA